GGGGGUGUAAUUCAGUGGUGGAGCACUUGCCUAGCAUGUGCAAGGCCCUGGGUUCAAUCCCCAGCACCCCCC
rnacentral:tRNA from 1 species